rnacentral:rRNA from 1 species
UACGUAGGGGGCAAGCGUUGUCCGGAUUUAUUGGGUUUAAAGGGUGCGUAGGCGGUCUUAUAAGUCAGUUGUGAAAUACGGCAGCUUAACUGUCGAGGUGCAAUUGAUACUGUAAGACUUGAGUACUGUUGAGGUAGGCGGAAUGGACGGUGUAGCGGUGAAAUGCUUAGAGAUCGUCCGGAACACCGAUAGCGAAGGCAGCUUACUAAAGAGUAACUGACGCUGAGGCACGAAAGUGUGGGGAUCAAACAGG